UGUCUUGUUGUGUAGCCAAGGAUGACUUGCCGGCCGUUUGUCUCCGUCCGCCAACGUUUUCCAUUGCAUGCAUGCGCGUUCGUUCGUGAGUGUGUAUGUGGUGGGACUGCGUGCGAGACAUUGACCGGCAGGUUCUUCGCUUUGGCUACAUGAUGGCCUCG
rnacentral:pre_miRNA from 1 species